GGUUUAUGUUGAUGUAUGUGAUUGGAGCUUUUCACAAUAUAUCGUGCUGCUUUUUUCUAGCCAUUUGUAUCUAUUUGUAGUAUAAUAUUUUUAGCACCAUACUGUUACUUGUUUUUUUGUACAACUACAUUUAGAUUUUAAACAUGUGAAAUUAUGUUUUUCACCGGUUUAAAUAUUUUUUAUGUUCUUUCUUUUUAUUUAAAUUUAC